UCUGCAGGUUUUUUGGUUAGUCUUUUGUUUAAGCCCUCAGCUUAGCUGAGGAAAGGCAGGGGAAACUACCAGAAUAGAGUAUAUUUGAGGAGCUUGGAAUUCUCGGUGGAGGGGUGAAAUCCAUAGAUAUCGAGAGGAACACCAUAUGCGAAGGCAGGGCUCUGGAAUAUUACUGACACUCAGAGACGACAGCUUGGGUAGCAAACGGGA
rnacentral:rRNA from 1 species